UGCGUUAGCUCCACGUGAAUUUUCACUACUUAAGCUCCUCAGAUCGAUCCUCUUGAUUCAUUCCGCUACACAGGAAGCAAGGAAAACCCACUGUUCUCUCUACUGAAGCUACAAGGACAUCAUCAUCAUACAAUGUCAAAACCCUCGUCCCACGCUGAAGAUUUAUAUCUCUCAUCCUCCACGGAGGAAGAUUCGUCGGCACCGCCGCCGCCACCGCCGAAGGUUGACGUGAUCGACAAAA